UUAAUAGCUGAAGCCAUCACUUGUCUGCACUCAGAAAAUCCUGGGGCUGUGAUCUUCUGAGCUAAGCUGGUUCUGGGCUGGUUAGUAUUUGGAUGGGAAGCCUCCAAGAAAAAUCUAGGAAUCUGUAAGA
rnacentral:rRNA from 1 species